rnacentral:rRNA from 1 species
ACACGACUACAUUAGAUACCCCUGUAGUCCUAGCCGUAAACGAUACUCGCUAGGUGUCGGCCACGGUGCGACCGUUGUCGGUGCCGUAGGGAAGCCGUGAAGCGAGCCACCUGGGAAGUACGGCCGCAAGGCUGAAACUUAAAGGGAUUGGCGGGGGAGCACAACAACGGGUGGAGCUUGCGGUUUAAUUGGAUUCAACGCCGGAAAUCUUACCGGGACCGACAGCAACAUGAAGGCCAAGCUGAAGACUUUGCCGGAUUAGCUG